rnacentral:lncRNA from 1 species
AAAUGGUCAGUUGACCCCUUUAGGAGUUAUUGCCCUUUAUAGUCAAUUUUUAACCAUUUUUCGUAAAUCUUAGUAAUCUUUUACAAAAAUCUUCUCCUCUGAAACUUCUGGGCCAAAUUAAUCCAAACUUGGCCACAAUCAUCAUUGGGGUAUCUAGUUUUAAAAAUGUGUGGCGUGACCCUGCCAACCAACCAAGAUGGCCACCAUGGCUAUAAAUCGAACAGAGGGGUAAAAUGUAGAUUUGGCUUAUAACUCUAAAACCAAAGCAUUUAGAGCAAAUCGGACAAAGGGUAAAAUAAUCUAUUAGGUCAAGAUCUAUCUGCCCUGAAAUUUUCAGACAAAUCGGAC